rnacentral:rRNA from 1 species
AAUGAACGCUGGCGGCGUGCUUAACACAUGCAAGUCGAACGAGAAAGAGCUUUCGGGCUCAAGUACAGUGGCGAACGGGUGAGUAACGCGUGGGAAUUAACCCUUUAGUGGAGGAUACUUCCGAGAAAUCGGGAAUAAUCCUGCAUAAGUCCCUUCGGGGAGAAAGGCGGCCUCUUGCUGCCGCUAAAGGACAAGCCUGCGUACUAUCAGCUUGUUGGUAGGGUAAUGGCCUACCAAGGCUAUGACGGUUAGCCGGCCUGAGAGGGUGUCCGGCCACACUGGAACUUAGACACGGUCCAGACUCCUACGGGAGGCAGCAGUGGGGAAUAUUGCGCAAUGGGCGAAAGCCUGACGCAGCGACGCCGCGUGGAGGAUGAAGGUCUUAGGAUUGUAAACUUCUGUUAGGUGUGAAGAAAUCCACAACCUGAAUAAGGUCGUGGGAUGACGGUAGCAUCAGAGAAAGCACUGGCUAACUUCGUG